CGGCCCCUCACGGCCAGAGCGGAGCAGGGCCGGGCCGCCGCCCGCCGCGGGGCAGGCACGCCGGUGGGAGGCCGGCAGGGAGGGAGGGAGGCAGAGAGGGCAGGCUGCAGCCCAGCACGCGGCGCUCGCCCCGCGCUUCCCCCCGCGCGGGCCGGAAAGCGGAACCCGCGGCGCCCACCGCCCGCACUCACCUCGGUGACGUUCGGGGCCGGCGGGAGACCGAGGGCGGCGGCGGGGCCGCCCCGGCCCGGCUGUCACCGGCCGCCCGGGGCAGAGUCCCGCGGGGCGAAUCCUCGGGCGACGCCGGCGGCGGCGGGAGGGACGAGCCGCCCAGCGCCCGCUCGCCGCCGCCGCCUCGCAGCGAGUCGAUUCGCGGCCGGCCUCGCCGCCGUCGCGCGGCCGGGCGCUGCCGGCGGCGGCCGCUACGGCCGGGGCACCGCCGGGCACGGAGCGCCGCCGGCCGCCGCCGCCUCGGCCCCCUCUUCCUGCGUCCGCCGGCGGCCGCGCUCGAGGCGCAGUCACGCGGAGCACCGCGGAGAAGCCGCCGCUUCGCUCAGCGCCUCGGAGCCCGCCGCCGCGCUCCCGCUCCGCAUCCCCCGUCCUCCGCGCUACCGGCGGCGGCGCCUCCGGCCGCGCCUCUGCCGCCCGCUCUCCCGCGCGCGCCGCUGCCGCCCGAGCCCCGCUCAGCGCCGCGUCUCCAUCGCCAGCGCGGGGGCGGGCGCAGGGAAGGGGGCGGGCGCGGCCCCGGCCGCCCGCGCGCCCGCGCCCCCUAGGUGGAGCCCGCGCGCCCGCCCCGCCCCGCCCCGCCGGAGCCCGGAUGUGCCGCGGGGAUGCCGGCGGGGCGUGCGGCUCUCCCCGGGCACCCGCGUUGUGUCGAGGUGCGAGGGCGACUGCGGUGUUUCCCGGCGACUCUGCCCCCGCCAUUUGGUGAGCGCUGCGCGCCCGCGUGUCGGCAGUCGGUGUGCCAGCUGUCACCUGGGGAUCCGACAGCAAACGAAAGCAUCCCAUCGCAUCCGCAGCGAGCGCUGA
rnacentral:lncRNA from 1 species